rnacentral:rRNA from 1 species
AACGAACGCUGGCGGCAGGCUUAACACAUGCAAGUCGAACGCCCCGCAAGGGGAGUGGCAGACGGGUGAGUAACGCGUGGGAAUCUACCGUACCCUACGGAACAACAGUUGGAAACGACUGCUAAUACCGUAUACGCCCUACGGGGGAAAGAUUUAUCGGGGUAUGAUGAGCCCGCGUUGGAUUAGCUAGUUGGUGGGGUAAAGGCCUACCAAGGCGACGAUCCAUAGCUGGUCUGAGAGGAUGAUCAGCCACAUUGGGACUGAGACACGGCCCAAACUCCUACGGGAGGCAGCAGUGGGGAAUAUUGGACAAUGGGCGCAAGCCUGAUCCAGCCAUGCCGCGUGAGUGAUGAAGGUCUUAGGAUUGUAAAGCUCUUUCACCGAUGAAGAUAAUGACGGUAGUCGGAGAAGAAGCCCCGGCUAACUUCGUGCCAGCCGCCGCCGUAAAAC